GAUUGGAGAAACUGGCUCCUAGACAGAGGGGGACCUUGAGUUACCGCGGACUGGCUGUCUGGCUGUAAUGGGGGGCCUGGCCCCGGGCACUCAACCGUCAGGAUUAGCUAAUUGUUAUACAAUAUAGUUAGGUGGCUAAUUAAAGACGGUGGCAGUCUGGUUAAGGUAGGCUUGUAUGGGGUUCUCUCCCCGCAAGUUUGCAUGUGAUUUUAUACCUACGCGAAUGCAGCACGGUUGCAGUAAAAUUGGAACUUCAGCAGCGCGGGCUUGCCCAGCCCCCGCUAGUUGGCUAGCGAACGAGAAUUUGCUAGCGGAUCGGGGCUUCAGUCCAGUCCCACACUUGCCCAGCUGCCAGGCUAUGCAUGCAGUAGCAAAGGUGAUUUGGCAGAUAAUCAAGGUAUCACCUUAACCCUCAAACUGAAAUGAACACAGGCUAUGAUGAAUCCUCUGAGAGAAGACUGCAAGUCACUGCCAGUCAAACAAAAGGGGAUCAGCAACGAAACGGCUCACCAUUCCUUCCCUUCCUUCCUGGAAGAAACACCACACUGUCACCCUAAAGAGCAAAUGGAAAAAUGAAAUCUGUAUAUUUUAGUUUCAUAUUUUUUUGUUAACAUGUCUUUUUUUGUUGGUGUGUGGGGGUAUAGAUGAGAUCAUGAUGACUCUGAAGUUUCAUACCUUCUCUCUCAUCUGUGAUUUAUUAACAUGUUUGAUAUACAGUAGCCUGUAAGGGACUCUGAGCCUUGACGGUAUGUUUUGUAUUUCGGGAAGGAGAGGAAAAGACUCAGGAAUGUAAUAACACCGAUACCUGGCCGACUUGAGCAGUCUCCUACAUCUGAGACCUAGCCUGGUUCCGAGAUCUGUUUGUGCUGUCUUCCGUGACAUCGGCAAGAUGGCACAAACCAAUUUGGAACCAGGCGAGCAGAGGCCCAACAUCUGCGUUUUCAAACUCUACCGGUGGCCCCUUUUUUGGGGGGGCUGAGUACAGUAACUGACAGGCAGCAGCAUGUCAUCCACUCUUCCACAGAACACAGCUGAAACAGCUGCUGGAUCCUCCACGCAUGUUUUAACACUCAUUCAGUUCUAUCUGCUCUGUUCACCUCACACACUCAUCAGCAUUGAUCUCUGCUUAACACCGUGUGUAGUUAGGCCUAGACUUAUAUCAUUGUCUGUACAAACACACUUAAAAAAUCUAAUCAAAUGUGUAUUUGUGACAUGCUUCAUGAACUACAGGUGUAGACUAACGGUAACAUUCUUUUAAGAGUCUUUUUCGAACAAUUCAGAGUUUAAAUCUUGAAAGGGAGUGGUUCCACCUCGACGCAUAACCAUUCAAACAUUGGGUUCGGUAUUUGACCUCUAGUCCUAAUCCUUCAGCUCUUUAGGUGAUUCACAACCUUCAGCUCUCAAAUCCUCUGCUCAUUCUCAAAACUCAAAUACUUACAUACACUAAAGUAUUUACUGAGGCUAAGAGUCCCCCCUUUUUUCCAUUUUAGAUGACUAAAUGCUUGGUAGUUCAUUCUUUUUUUGUUUUGAAAUGUUUUUAUUUUAUUUGUAUGUAGUAUUUUAAGUUUUGAAUGUUUACGUUGCAAACUAGUAUAAAACCAUGUGUAGACACAGUCAUGUACGCUGUGAUGUAUAGAAGUAGCUAUAGUAGAAAUGCAUUGUUUCCUUGUGGUAAGUGAGUGAGAUGCUGCCACGGAACUGAGACACUGAUGAUUGGUGCUAUUUUGGACUUUAAUCUGCUCCUUGGAAAGGUAGCUGAGAUGGGUUUUUAUUUUUUACUUUUCAUGUUCUGAUUAAGGAAGGGGUCUGUCUGUUGUAACUCUGUCUGGAUUGGCUUUGUUUUUCCCUUGUCGUUUUCUGUGCGGCUUUCUCAUUGGACUUAAGGAAAAUAUCAACUUCUUUCAUGGUAAUGUUUUACUAAAGGGAGGGGGGGGUUAGGUGAGAAUAUUUAUGAGGAUACACCAUGUUGUUCGGAGCAAUCACAAAACUGCAAUCGUUAACACUAGUUACCCUUUAAAACUGAGAUGUGCAAUCAAAGUAGUACCCAGCACAAGUCACUUUUUUUUUAGAGAAUGUUUACGUUUUUUGUUUAUGUUCUGAUUGACAGACAAUCUUGAAACCAAGAGUGCAUUUUUCCCCUAACGUGUGUGUUUAACAGAUCUCCUAAGCAAUUGUGAGUAAUGAAAUUGUCACGUAUAGAAGACGCCACAGAAUGUUAAUGUCAGAUAUCCGCUUCAAGUUGGUUAGCAUAAGUAAAAACUGAAACGUAAAGAUUAUUUUUAGAAAAUGGCACGUGAGAGAACUUGAUAGUUAAAUUCUAAAAUGAACACACACACUUUAAUGUGUGUCAAGGCCCAGCCUGUUAGGGUUUGGGUUCAGGGUUUCAACUUUUCUUCACCAGCUGGAUAUGACUUAAUGCUAUAGUGAGUCAUGUGUGAUUAUAUAAUGUUAGUUAACAUGAGUCUGGAAUCACAGUAUGCAUAUAAUCUUGUUUUAGAAAACCAUUUUCAGGGCACACAUGUAUUAUAAAGUGAUCUCCGUUUAAAAAAUAUAUUUUUCAUUGUCUUUGAAUUAUUUACUAAAUGAAUUGUUGACUGAACCUUUUAUAUUAAACAACUAAAACCCCAAAGUUUUUUAAAAAUUUAGCAAAAAAAAAUUGACAACUAGGGUUAAGGGCCUUGCUCAAGGGCACAUUGACAGAUUUUUCUACCAGUUGUCUCGGGGAUUCAAACCAGCAACCUUUCAGUUACUGGCCCAAUGAUCUUAGCCUAGUGGUUAUCUGCCACCCUAGCUAGAGAUUUAAAACAUCAAAGUUAUGUCAGUAUUUGCAGUUUUGUUUUUGCUUCCCUUUUUUAUAUUGUUAAAUAUUCUAAUUAAUAUAAUAAUAACCAACUUGAAAGCCCACUAGUUUUCUUUGUCUUCCAUUCUCCCUCGAUAUUGGGACCUAUUGAACCAGCAUGUUCUGGUCUUGUUAAUUGCGUGCUCUCUUUUCGUCAUUGUGGUUUUUGUUUUGUGAAAAAUAUAUAUAUCCUCUUGCAAUUCUUUCGACAUAGACUACUUAAUAUGAAUGCUGUUUUGUACAAAGCAAAGUGAAUAGCGUAGGCAGGAUGUGUUGCGUGAGGUAUUCAGUAUUUACCACGGAGGUUGAAAAAAAAAUAUAUACAGUAUGCCAGCUUUGGAAAAAAUGAUUAUAACGAUGCGCUUAAUUUACAGUAUCCCAUGUACUUUGGCAAUUUUAGAAGUAGUGCAAUAAAUAUGCAAGGUUGUAAUUUGGUGUUUUA